rnacentral:rRNA from 1 species
GACGAACGCUGGCGGCGUGCUUAACACAUGCAAGUCGAACGGAAAGGCCCUGCUUUUGUGGGGUGCUCGAGUGGCGAACGGGUGAGUAACACGUGAGUAACCUGCCCUUGACUUUGGGAUAACUUCAGGAAACUGGGGCUAAUACCGGAUAGGAGCUCCUGCUGCAUGGUGGGGGUUGGAAAGUUUCGGCGGUUGGGGAUGGACUCGCGGCUUAUCAGCUUGUUGGUGGGGUAGUGGCUUACCAAGGCUUUGACGGGUAGCCGGCCUGAGAGGGUGACCGGCCACAUUGGGACUGAGAUACGGCCCAGACUCCUACGGGAGGCAGCAGUGGGGAAUAUUGAACAAUGGGCGGAAGCCUGAUGCAGCAACGCCGCGGGCGGGAUGACGGCCUUCGGGUUGUAAACCGCGUUCGCCUGUGACGAAGCGUGAGUGACGGUAAUGGGUAAAGAAGCACCGGCUAACUACGUGC